GACGAACGCUGGCGGCGUGGAUUAGGCAUGCAAGUCGAACGGUAUCAUCCUUUCGGGGGUGAGAGAGUGGCGAACUGGUGAGUAACACGUAGGUUAUCUACCCUCAAGACGGGGACAACCCAGGGAAACUUGGGCUAAUACUGGAUGUGAGCAACUUUUAGUUGUUUGAAAGGUGGCGUAAGCUGUCGCUUGGGGAUGAGCCUGCGUCCUAUUAGUUAGUUGGUGAGGUAACGGCUCACCUAGGCAAUGAUAGGUAGGCGGCCUUAACGGGUGGUCGCCCACACUGGGAUUGAGAUACGGCCCAGACUCCUACGGGAGGCAGCAGUCGAGAAUAGUCUACAAUGGUCGGAAGACUGAUAGUGCGACGCCGCGUGAACGAUGAAUCCCUUCGGGGUGUAAAGUUCUUUUAUAUGUGAGCAGUGCUUCUUAUAUUAACAGUAUGGGGAGAGAGAUAUUAGCAUAUGAAUAAGCAACGGCUAACUCCGUGCCAGCAGCCGACGGUAAAA
rnacentral:rRNA from 1 species